AACGAACGCUGGCGGCAGGCCUAACACAUGCAAGUCGAGCGCGCCCUUCGGGGUGAGCGGCGGACGGGUGAGUAACGCGUGGGAACGUGCCCUUCUCUGCGGAAUAGCCUCGGGAAACUGAGAGUAAUACCGCAUACGCCCUUUGGGGGAAAGAUUUAUCGGAGAAGGAUCGGCCCGCGUUGGAUUAGGUAGUUGGUGGGGUAAUGGCCCACCAAGCCGACGAUCCAUAGCUGGUUUGAGAGGAUGAUCAGCCACACUGGGACUGAGACACGGCCCAGACUCCUCCGGGAGGCAGCAGUGGGGAAUCUUAGACAAUGGGGGCAACCUUGAUCGAGCCAUGCCGCGUGAGGGAUGAAGGCCUUGGGGUUGUAAACCUCUUUCAUCUGGGAAGAUAAUGACGGUACCAGAAGAAGAAGCCCCGGCUAACUCCGUG
rnacentral:rRNA from 1 species